rnacentral:lncRNA from 1 species
CUGUGCAGAAUGUGCUUUGUUAAACAAGUGCUUGAAGGCAGUAUGCUUGGUAAAAGUCAUCGCCAUUCUCUAAUCUUGAGUACCCAGGGACACGAUACACUGCGGAAGGCUGCAGGGACCUCUGCCCAGGAAAGCCAGGGAUCACUCUAAGCUCCAGUGUCAAGGAGUCAAGUCCUUCAGGAAUUCUCUGCCUCCACUCCCUGUGGCAGAGCUAGAGUGGCUGCCAUGCUUCUGAGCUCAGCCAGCAUCCAGAGAGAGAGUGAGAUACAGCCUCCUCUUCUUGAAGCACCCACUUCUAAACUCUGUGACAGUUUUCUUGGAACUCUGUUAUGUGGAUCUGGAGAUGACAAUGUCACAGCACUCCCCUCUAAGCCUAAAUUCCCCCACACCGAUGAACUAUUAGGAUCCAGUAUCUGCCGGAGGAGCCCCACCUUCUGCUACUAUUAUGUUCUUCAGAUGAGUAGAAGAGAGUGGGGAGGGAGAGAGCAGGAAGAAGAAAGGAAGAAUAAUGUCUUGAAAUUGUUUUCUAAGGAUAAUGGUCUCCAGCUUCGUCAAUGUUCCUGCAAAGGACAUGAUGCUGACUUUGAAGAUGCAAGCUUCCACAUCUACAGCCUCAAGGAAACAAAUUCAGCCAACCAACUGAGGGAGCUUUCCUUGUCCUGCCUCAAGAUGAGAUCACAGUCUGCCCAACACCAUGAUUUAGGCCUUGUGACACCUGGUAUGGAAGACCCAGUUAAGUUCUCUCCAAACUCUUGACCCACAGAACCUGUGAGAAAAUAUAUGGAUAUUAUUUUAAACUGCUAAAUUUGUAGUAAUUUGUUAUGCAGCAAUAAAAAAAACUAAUGCAAGGAGAUAUCAAUUAUUGUAAAAAGCUUAGCUUUUGUUUUAAAAUAUAGUUCACCAGUAGUAAGUUACUAAUAAGUAACUAAACAAAUAAAAGCAAGCCAUUUACAAAUCAAUAAUAAGAGUAAGUCAUGAACUAAAGAUUGUAAUUAAUCAAUUUCUGUACGCCUGUAAUGAAAAUAAAGGAGGAAAAGAAAAUGAAAGAAAAGA